rnacentral:lncRNA from 1 species
CUCGUACCUGUUAGCCACCUGGUGUGUACGAGUGCGCACGGGCGACUGUAGCGUGCGUGUGAAAUGGGGGGAGGAUCAUGCCAGUUGGUAACUCAGAGUGCAGUGUAGUUAGUGGAAGAGGUUUCUCCAACAGCCGGAAACCCGCACCUUCGCUACUCCACUGACCUCACCCUGGCCACACCGACAGCCUUCUAGAUGUCAAAUCUAACAGAGCACAACGUUACAGCGAGACAGGGCGUGAUGGAUCCCCAGCAGCCCAGAGAUACUCAGUGAAGUCACAUACCCGGAGGUGGGGCCAGGUUUGGAAACCAGGUUUUCAAAUGACUAUCUUAGUGCUUUUGCACCCAUCAGCUCUAUCUUAGGAU